rnacentral:rRNA from 1 species
GCCGUAAACGAUGUCUACUUGGAGGUUGUGCCCUUGAGGCGUGGCUUCCGGAGCUAACGCGUUAAGUAGACCGCCUGGGGAGUACGGCCGCAAGGUUAAAACUCAAAUGAAUUGACGGGGGCCCGCACAAGCGGUGGAGCAUGUGGUUUAAUUCGAUGCAACGCGAAGAACCUUACCUGGUCUUGACAUCCACGGAAGUUUUCAGAGAUGAGAAUGUGCCUUCGGGAACCGUGAGACAGGUGCUGCAUGGCUGUCGUCAGCUCGUGUUGUGAAAUGUUGGGUUAAGUCCCGCAACGAGCGCAACCCUUAUCCUUUGUUGCCAGCGGUUAGGCCGGGAACUCAAAGGAGACUGCCAGUGAUAAACUGGAGGAAGGUGGGGAUGACGUCAAGUCAUCAUGGCCCUUACGACCAGGGCUACACACGUGCUACAAUGGCGCAUACAAAGAGAAGCGACCUCGCGAGAGCAAGCGGACCUCAUAAAGUGCGUCGUAGUCCGGAUUGGAGUCUGCAACUCGACUCCAUGAAGUCGGAAUCGCUAGUAAUCGUGGAUCAGAAUGCCACGGUGAAUACGUUCCCGGGCCUUGUACACACCGCCCGUCACACCAUGGGAGUGGGUUGCAAAAGAAGUAGGUAGCUUAACCUUCGGGAGGGCGCUUACCACUUUGUGAUUCAUGACUGGGGUGAAGUCGUAACAAGGUAACCGUAGGGGAACCUGC